ensembl:lncRNA
UGUGCUUCUCAUAGUUUAUGGAACCCCACCUUGAUUGGACUCAGACAUGGGUUCUGAGGCCUGAUAAGAGAGGAUGGACAAGGCUUUGGUCAACUAUCAGAAAAACCGCUAGCAUAUACUCUGUGCCGACUUCUUCGUGCAGAAAGCCCUGCUUAGUCUUCAGAUGGCCCGUCUUCGAUGCAUGUUUAUUGAGCGCCCUGAGUGUUGCGUGUGCUGGGAAUGUGGUAAGAGGCAGAGCCGGCCCACCCUUCAUGGAGCUGAUGCUGUCUGUGGGGCAGCUGACGGGCCAGCAGAUGGAACAUGCCGAUAAUGUGAAGGAUGAAGUUGUAAAUGGGGAGAAGGUCCAAGGGCAAGAAUUUUCAAGGAACCAAAAGACACUGGAGCCGAGAAGGGAACAUGGCCCUGAGAGGAGCUGUAGAGGGAGGAGGGGGCAAACAGGUGAGCCUGGGCACUGGGGGGUUGAGGCAGGGCUGGAGACGGCAGGGCCAGAGGAGCAGAGGUGGCUGUUGCCAGGACCCCGGAUGACGGGGCGGAGAAGGAGAUGGAUUUGGAGUUGGCAACUCCACUGUUUGCUCCGAGACCUGGAUGGGUGGUGA